UUGGAGGGCAAGCUGGUGCCAGCAGCCGCGGUAAUUCCAGCUCCAAUAGUGUAUAUUAAAGUUGUUGCAGUUAAAAAGCUCGUAGUUGAAUUUCGGGGUUCUACCGUUGGUCGGGCUAACAAGUCUGUACUAGCGUGUAGAAUCUCUACCUUCUGGGGAACCAUCAUGUUAUUAAUUUAGCGUGGUGGGAAACCAGGACCUUUACCUUGAAAAAAUUAGAGUGUUCAAAGCAGGCUUACGUCUGAAUACAUUAGCAUGGAAUAAUAAAAUAGGACGGUGGU
rnacentral:rRNA from 1 species